UUGUAUGAUGAAAGAUUCGACACACAGGGAUUCCUCAUUCUUAAUACAUCAUGUGGAGUUUGUCCAAACUUAGUUUCAGCCUUGUCUGACA
rnacentral:snoRNA from 1 species